AAUGAACGCUGGCGGCGUGGAUAAGACAUGCAAGUCGAACGAAGAGAGAUUUAGUUUACUAAUGAUCUUUUAGUGGCGGACGGGUUAGUAACGCGUGAGCAACUUGCCUCAAAGAGGGGGAUAGUCCUGGGAAACUGGGUUUAAUACCGCAUGUGCUCUUCGGAGUAAAGUGGCCUUCGGGUCACGCUUUGAGAUAGGCUCGCGUCCUAUCAGCUAGUUGGUGAGGUAAAGGCUCACCAAGGCGACGACGGGUAGUUGGUCUGAGAGGACGAUCAGCAACACUGGAACUGAGACACGGUCCAGACACCUACGGGUGGCAGCAGUCGAGAAUCAUUCACAAUGGGGGCAACCCUGAUGGUGCAACGCCGCGUGGAGGAUGAAGGCCCUAGGGUCGUAAACUCCUGUCAUAUGAGAGUAAGGCAUAUUAGUUAAUACCUAGUAUGUUUGAUAGUAUCAUAAGAGGAAGGGACGGCUAACUUCG
rnacentral:rRNA from 1 species